rnacentral:sRNA from 1 species
GAAACAGCUAUCGAUUCUUUUUUAUUUUUUAAUGAUACAGAAAAUUGUUUAUAUUAAUUUUGUUUGCUUACUUCUGCAUUUAUAUUUUGUUCCACUAGUCCUCAGACUUCUUCAGUGAACAAUUUUUUUUUUUUCCAAAAUUAAGAUAAGGUCUUUGUUUGGAGCUAUGUACCACAUCCUUUCAUGUGUUCUUCUGAAUUAUAUUUAAUCUUUGAUAAUGAGUGAAAAGCACAGACAUUCCUGGAGUAAGACAUCUAUGUGUUCUCUACUAGAUGAUCCUACCAGACAAUAUGAAGGACCAUUACAUCACUAUCGACCACAGCAGGAAUCACCAUCUCCCCAACAACAGCUGCCCCCUUCUUCACAGGCAGAGGGAAUGGGGCAAGUGCCCAGGACCCAUCGGCUGAUCACACUUGCUGAUCACAUCUGUCAAAUUAUCACACAAGAUUUUGCUAGAAAUCAAGUUCCCUCGCAGACUCCCCAGCAGCCUCCUACUUCUACAUUCCAGAACUCACCUUCUGCUUUGGUAUCUACACCUGUGAGGACUAAAACAUCAAACCGUUACAGCCCAGAAUCCCAGGCUCAGUCUGUCCAUCAUCAAAGACCAGGUUCAAGGGUCUCUCCAGAAAAUCUUGUGGACAAAUCCAGGGGAAGUAGGCCUGGAAAAUCCCCAGAGAGGAGUCACGUCUCUUCGGAGCCCUACGAGCCCAUCUCCCCACCCCAGGUUCCGGUUGUGCAUGAGAAACAGGACAGCUUGCUGCUCUUGUCUCAGAGGGGCGCAGAGCCUGCAGAGCAGAGGAAUGAUGCCCGCUCACCAGGGAGUAUAAGCUACUUGCCUUCAUUCUUCACCAAGCUUGAAAAUACAUCACCCAUGGUUAAAUCAAAGAAGCAGGAGAUUUUUCGUAAGUUGAACUCCUCUGGUGGAGGUGACUCUGAUAUGGCAGCUGCUCAGCCAGGAACUGAGAUCUUUAAUCUGCCAGCAGUUACUACGUCAGGCUCAGUUAGCUCUAGAGGCCAUUCUUUUGCUGAUCCUGCCAGUAAUCUUGGGCUGGAAGACAUUAUCAGGAAGGCUCUCAUGGGAAGCUUUGAUGACAAAGUUGAGGAUCAUGGAGUUGUCAUGUCCCAGCCUAUGGGAGUAGUGCCUGGUACUGCCAACACCUCAGUUGUGACCAGUGGUGAGACACGAAGAGAGGAAGGGGACCCAUCACCUCAUUCAGGAGUUUGCAAACCAAAGCUGAUCAGCAAGUCAAACAGCAGGAAAUCUAAGUCUCCUAUACCUGGGCAAGGCUACUUAGGAACCGAACGGCCCUCUUCAGUCUCCUCUGUACAUUCAGAAGGGGAUUACCAUAGGCAGACGCCAGGGUGGGCCUGGGAAGACAGGCCCUCUUCAACAGGCUCAACUCAGUUUCCUUAUAACCCUCUGACUAUGCGGAUGCUCAGCAGUACUCCACCAACACCGAUUGCAUGUGCUCCCUCUGCUGUGAACCAAGCAGCUCCUCACCAACAGAACAGGAUCUGGGAGCGAGAGCCUGCCCCACUGCUCUCAGCACAGUACGAGACCCUGUCGGAUAGUGAUGACUGAACUGCACAAAGUGAGGGGAACAGGGUGCAGGAGAGGGAUCUCUAGUUUUUGUGGUUUAAUUUUUAGUAGCAGGUCAAAAACCUGCCCUCCUGUGACUUAUUCCCUGAGACUUUUCAGGAGAGCCAGCCCACAGAUGAUGAAGAAAUGAUGGAAAUUCAUUUGGAGAGUCAAAUGGGAAAAAAACAAACAAAAAACUGCCUUUGAUACAGGCAAUUCAGUGGACUAUAAUAAUAGUGGAGGGUUGAGAUGUAGAGUUUUUAAAAAGUGAACAGUUGCUGUUCUUACAUCUGUAAAGAAAACCAUAAUGUCUUUAAAUCACUCUUCUGUAAAUAGAUGACCUUUCUGCAGUGUAUAUCCCCUUGCUGUAGUAUCUGGUGUACUUAUGUUCAAAUCAGCGCAUCAACUUUGGGGGUGAUUUUUAAAAAUCUUUUUGUCUAUCUAUCUUUUUAACCUAACCCUAGCCUUCUAAACAACCUCAUACAGCCCAGUUACAUAAUGUUGGCUGUCACGGGCAUUGUACUUUUAUCUGAUAUUGUUUCCUCUAAAUUCAGCUUUCCAGUGAUGUUUAAAAUCUUGUGAAAAUGUUUAGAUUUUUAACACAGACCCUGUCAUAAAAUCUGUACAUUAGGGUCAAAAGGUAAAAGUAACAAAUUCUGCCAUAUUGUAAAUUUCCAGUGCAGGCUUUAAUUUUUUUUUUCAUUAGUAGCACUGAAAAAAUAUUACUGCAUGGGUAUGUUCUAGUUCAGUUUAUAAAGUUUUAAAGGCUUAUUUGAGGCAUACCUCACUGUUACGCACACUGGUAAUUUAACCAUGCCCCUAAGUAUUCCUUUUCUCCUGCAUUUGAUGCAGCCCAACAAAGCUUUUGUUUUGAAAUAAAUUUGACUACCCUGUCCAUA